ensembl:lncRNA
UAUGAAGCCAACUUCUCAUUCUUGAAGACGUAAUUUAAUUUGUGUAAUCUGUCUAAAGAAGAAUUGUUAACCAAGAGCCAAAGGAGUUGGCUCAGUCAUUGGCCAAGAAAUUGCUGAGAGCACCAGGUCAAGCUGGAUUUGGAGCAGGUGGUGGUUGUCAGAAGGACAGUAAAAGGUCUCUAGGCCUGUGUGACUAAGGCCUAGUAUCAGCUUAUUAGCACUAGCUAAGUUUUUCAUUUACAGUGAUAAACGUCUUGUCCUUCACCUCCCAAAUGGCAGAAGACCUACUACUGACCCAUCCAGAUUAAAAAUACAUCUUCUCUCCACAGCACUUGGAUGAGCGAUGCUGCCUCUGCCUCAUCUUUGACUGGCAGAAUAAACACUGUUACCACAACAGCCAUGCUGGGAGACAAACUACAAGUAACAACAGAGCGAUGAUGUUAGAAACAGUCAAGUGGAGCAACCGGCUUCGUCACCAUCUGGUCCCCAGAAGAAGGAGGCACAGCAGUGGUCGCACGAUAUACGCCCACUCACAAGCCCACACACACAUACACACACACACACACGCACACACACACACAAACUUUACUCCAAGGCCAAAGCCAAGAUCUUGCUGCAGCACCUACUUGAACACACACACGCCAACACACAUGCUGGCACCAAUAGGAGCAUUCACACGCACACAGAGACAGGCAGGCUUUUCCACCCACAGUUUUUCCAAGGUGCAGUCCAUCUGCUCUCUCCAUAGAUUUAGAUGGCAGAGUCCAAUAUGUGAUACAACUUACCAGCUUGGUGUAUAUUACAGCCCCACCAGGCC